rnacentral:tRNA from 1 species
AAAUAAAGCGAUUUAAUUGCAUUCAGUUUCGACCUGAAUUUAGAGUUUCUCUAUUUU